rnacentral:rRNA from 1 species
UCAAGAAGUGUUUUCUGUGCUAGUCCAGAGAGUCUGUUGGAACACAGCGUCAUAGAGGGUGACAACCCCGUUCAUGACAUGUGUAUCUCUCGUACACUGUGAUACACUCUCGAAGAGUCGAGUUGUUUGGGAAUGCAGCUCAAAUUGGGUGGUAAAUUCCAUCUAAAGCUAAAUAUUGGCGAGAGACCGAUAGCAAACAAGUACCGUGAGGGAAAGAUGAAAAGCACUUUGGAAAGAGAGUUAACAGUACGUGAAAUUGUUGAAAGGGAAACGAUUGAAGUCAGACGUGCGUGAUGCGGUUCAGCUCUGGUUCGCCAGGGUGUAUUUUUGUAUCUUUGCAGGCCAACAUCGGUUUUGUUAGUCGGAUAAAGAUUAGCUGAAUGUGGCAUCUUCGGGUGUGUUAUAGCUUCUAAUUGAAUACGAUUGAUGAGACCGAGGAACGCAGCGCGCCGCAAGGCAAAGGUUCCGACCUUUUCGCGCUUAGGAUGUUGGUGAAAUGGCUUUAAACGACCCGUCUUGAAACACGGACCAAGGAGUCUAACAUGCUUGCGAGUGUUUGGGUGGCAAACCCAUACGCGUAAUGAAAGUGAAUGGAGGUGGGAUCCUUUACCGGAGCACCAUCGACCGAUCCCGGAUUUUUAAUGAAAGGGUUUGAGUAAGAGCACGUAUGUUGGGACCCGAAAGAUGGUGAACUAUGCCUGAAUAGGGUGAAGCCAGAGGAAACUCUGGUGGAGGCUCGUAGCGGUUCUGACGUGCAAAUCGAUCGUCAAAUUUGGGUAU